rnacentral:rRNA from 1 species
UACGUAGGCAGCGAGCGUUGUUCGGAGUUACUGGGCGUAAAGGGUGUGUAGGCGGUUCUUUAAGUUUGGUGUGAAAUCUCCCGGCUCAACCGGGAGGGUGCGCCGAAAACUGGGGGGACUAGAGUGCGGGAUGGGAGAGUAGAAUUCCUGGUGUAGCGGUGAAAUGCGUAGAUAUCAGGAGGAAUACCGGUGGUGUAGACGGCUCUCUGGACCGCCACUGACGCUGAGACACGAAAGCGUGGGUAGCAAACAGG